UACGUAGGGGCCGAGCGUUGUCCGGAGUUAUUGGGCGUAAAGCGCGCGCAGGCGGCCUCGCGCGCCCGACGUGAAAGCCCCCGGCUUAACCGGGGAGAGUCGUUGGGGACGGCGGGGCUUGAGGGCGGGAGAGGUCGGUGGAAUUCCCGGUGUAGUGGUGAAAUGCGUAGAGAUCGGGAGGAACACCCGUGGCGAAGGCGGCCAUCUGGACCAGUACUGACGCUGAGGCACGAAAGCGUGGGGAGCAAACAGG
rnacentral:rRNA from 1 species